rnacentral:rRNA from 1 species
UACGAAGGGGGCUAGCGUUGCUCGGAAUUACUGGGCGUAAAGGGAGCGUAGGCGGAUCGUUUAGUUAGAGGUGAAAGCCCAGGGCUCAACCCUGGAAUUGCCUUUAAUACUGGCGGUCUUGAGUAUGGCAGAGGUGUGUGGAACUCCGAGUGUAGAGGUGAAAUUCGUAGAUAUUCGGAAGAACACCAGUGGCGAAGGCGACACACUGGGCCAUUACUGACGCUGAGGCUCGAAAGCGUGGGGAGCAAACAGG